UACGGUUUCAAUCCCGGCUCCUUCUUGAAGAUUUCCGUUGCUUACUCCGGUGGGGGCAACUAUUACGGACAAUGGAGCGCCGUCGGUAGAACCGCCGUGACCACCACCCUAGCCGGUUGCACCGCCGCUCUAACCACCCUCUUCGGCAAACGCAUCCUCUCCGGCCACUGGAACGUCACCGACGUUUGCAACGGCCUCCUCGGCGGCUUCGCAGCCAUCACCUCCGGAUGCUCAGUGGUGGAGCCGUGGGCCGCCAUAAUCUGCGGAUUCGUAGCGGCGGUGGUGCUCAUCUCCUGCAACAAGCUUGCCGAAAAGGUAAAAUUCGACGACCCACUUGAAGCCACCCAACUCCACGGCGGCUGCGGCGCCUGGGGCAUCAUCUUCACAGCGCUGUUCGCGACUAAAGACUAUGUGAGCCAAGUGUAUAACUCGGGGCAACCAGGUAGGCCGUACGGGCUGUUCAUGGGGGGCGGCGGAAGGCUUCUGGCGGCCCACAUCAUCCAAAUACUAGUGAUAACUGGGUGGGUCUCUGCCACAAUGGGCACCCUCUUCUUCAUCCU
rnacentral:lncRNA from 1 species